AUGAUAGCUUGCUAUCAGGCGUCGAGCGGCGGACGGGUGAGUAAUACUUAGGAAUCUACCUAGUAGUGGGGGAUAGCUCGGGGAAACUCGAAUUAAUACCGCAUACGACCUACGGGAGAAAGGGGGCAACUUGUUGCUCUCGCUAUUAGAUGAGCCUAAGUCGGAUUAGCUAGAUGGUGGGGUAAAGGCCUACCAUGGCGACGAUCUGUAGCUGGUCUGAGAGGAUGAUCAGCCACACCGGGACUGAGACACGGCCCGGACUCCUACGGGAGGCAGCAGUGGGGAAUAUUGGACAAUGGGGGCAACCCUGAUCCAGCCAUGCCGCGUGUGUGAAGAAGGCCUUUUGGUUGUAAAGCACUUUAAGCAGUGAAGAAGACUCCAUGGUUAAUACCCAUGGACGAUGACAUUAGCUGCAGAAUAAGCACCGGCUAACUCUGUGCCAGCAGCCGCGGUAAUACAGAGGGUGCAAGCGUUAAUCGGAAUUACUGGGCGUAAAGCGAGCGUAGGUGGCUUGAUAAGUCAGAUGUGAAAUCCCCGGGCUUAACCUGGGAACUGCAUCUGAUACUGUUAGGCUAGAAUAGGUGAGAGGAAGGUAGAAUUCCAGGUGUAGCGGUGAAAUGCGUAGAGAUCUGGAGGAAUACCGAUGGCGAAGGCAGCCUUCUGGCAUCAUAUUGACACUGAGGUUCGAAAGCGUGGGUAGCAAACAGGAUUAGAUACCCUGGUAGUCCACGCCGUAAACGAUGUCUACUAGUCGUUGGGUCCCUUGAGGACUUAGUGACGCAGCUAACGCAAUAAGUAGACCGCCUGGGGAGUACGGCCGCAAGGUUAAAACUCAAAUGAAUUGACGGGGGCCCGCACAAGCGGUGGAGCAUGUGGUUUAAUUCGAUGCAACGCGAAGAACCUUACCUGGUCUUGACAUAUCUAGAAUCCUGCAGAGAUGCAGGAGUGCCUUCGGGAAUUAGAAUACAGGUGCUGCAUGGCUGUCGUCAACUCGUGUCGUG
rnacentral:rRNA from 1 species